rnacentral:rRNA from 1 species
CCUACGGGAGGCAGCAGUGAGGAAUAUUGGUCAAUGGGAGAGAUCCUGAACCAGCCAAGCCGCGUGAGGGAAGACGGCCCUAUGGGUUGUAAACCUCUUUUGUCGGAGAACAAAACCCGGGACGUGUCCCGGACUGCGUGUAUCCGAAGAAAAAGCAUCGGCUAACUCCGUGCCAGCAGCCGCGGUAAUACGGAGGAUGCGAGCGUUAUCCGGAUUUAUUGGGUUUAAAGGGUGCGUAGGCGGUCCGUUAAGUCAGCGGGAAAAUUGCGGGGCUCAACCCCGUCGAGCCGUUGAAACUGGCAGACUUGAGUUGGCGAGAAGUACGCGGAAUGCGCGGUGUAGCGGUGAAAUGCAUAGAUAUCGCGCAGAACUCCGAUUGCGAAGGCAGCGUACCGGUGCCAGACUGACGCUGAGGCACGAAAGCGUGGGGAUCGAACAGGAUUAGAUACCCCUGUAGUC